rnacentral:rRNA from 1 species
AUUGAACGCUGGCGGCAUGCUUUACACACGCAAGUCGAGCGGCAGCGCGGGGGCAACCCUGGCGGCGAGCGGCGAACGGGUGAGUAAUGCAUCGGAACGUACCCUGGAGUGGGGGGAUAACGCCGCGAAAGCGGCGCUAAUACCGCAUAUGCUCUGAGGAGGAAAGUGGGGGACCGCAAGGCCUCACGCUCUGGGAGCGGCCGAUGUCCGAUUAGCUAGUUGGUGGGGUAAAGGCUUACCAAGGCGACGAUCGGUAGCUGGUCUGAGAGGAUGAUCAGCCACACUGGGACUGAGACACGGCCCAGACUCCUACGGGAGGCAGCAGUGGGGAAUUUUGGACAAUGGGGGCAACCCUGAUCCAGCCAUGCCGCGUGAGUGAAGAAGGCC